GAUGAAGAACGUAGCGAAAUGCGAUAAGUAAUGUGAAUUGCAGAAUUCAGUGAAUCAUCGAAUCUUUGAACGCACAUUGCGCCCGCCAGUAUUCUGGCGGGCAUGCCUGUCCGAGCGUCAUUUCAACCCUCAGGGCCCCUUCGGGGGACCUGGCGUUGGGGAUCGGCCCGCCCCCGUGCGGCGCCGUCCCCGAAAUAUAGUGGCGGUCUCGCUGCAGCCUCCCCUGCGUAGUAGCACACCUCGCACUGGAGAGCGGCGCGGCCACGCCGUGAAACCCCCAACUUCUGAAUGUUGACCUCGGAUCAGGUAGGAAUACCCGCUGAACUUAAGCAUAUCAAUAAGCGGAGGA
rnacentral:misc_RNA from 1 species